UACGGGGGGGGCAAGCGUUGUUCGGAAUUACUGGGCGUAAAGGGCUCGUAGGCGGCCAACUAAGUCGGGUGUGAAAUCCCCAGGCUCAACUUGGGAACUGCAUCCGAUACUGGAUGGCUUGAAUCCGGGAGAGGGAUGCAGAAUUCCAGGUGUGGCGGUGAAAUGCGUAGAUAUCGGAAGGAACGCCGGUGGCGAAAGCGGUCGACUGGACCUCUUCUGACGCUGAGGCGCGAAAGCCAGGGGAGCAAACGGG
rnacentral:rRNA from 1 species